rnacentral:rRNA from 1 species
UACGGGGGGGGCAAGCGUUGUUCGGAAUUCCUGGGCGUAAAGGGCUCGUAGGCGGCCAACUAAGUCAGACGUGAAAUCCCUCGGCUUAACCGGGGAACUGCGUCUGAUACUGGAUGGCUAGAGGUUGGGAGAGGGAUGCGGAAUUCCAGGUGUAGCGGUGAAAUGCGUAGAUAUCUGGAGGAACACCGGUGGCGAAGGCGGCAUCCUGGACCAAUUCUGACGCUGAGGCGCGAAAGCCAGGGGAGCAAACGGG